CAGGCCUAACACAUGCAAGUCGAACGCGAAAGCUCCUUCGGGAGUGAGUAGAGCGGCGAACGGGUGAGUAAUACGUAGGAAUCUACCCAUGAAGUGGGGGAUAACCCGGGGAAACUCGGGCUAAUACCGCAUACGUCCCACGGGACAAAGCGGGGGAUCUUCGGACCUCGCGCUUCUGGAUGAGCCUACGUCGGAUUAGCUUGUUGGUAGGGUAACGGCCUACCAAGGCGACGAUCCGUAGCUGGUCUGAGAGGAUGAUCAGCCACACUGGGACUGAGACACGGUCCAGACUCCUACGGGAGGCAGCAGUGGGGAAUAUUGGACAAUGGGCGAAAGCCUGAUCCAGCCAUGCCGCGUGUGUGAAGAAGGUCUUCGGAUUGUAAAGCACUUUAAGUUGGGAGGAAGGGCAGUUACCUAAUACGUGAUUGUCUUGACGUUACCGACAGAAUAAGCACCGGCUAACUCUGUGCCAGCAGCCGCGGUAAUACAGAGGGUGCAAGCGUUAAUCGGAAUUACUGGGCGUAAAGCGCGCGUAGGUGGUUUGUUAAGUUGAAUGUGAAAUCCCCGGGCUCAACCUGGGAACUGCAUCCAAAACUGGCAAGCUAGAGUAUGGUAGAGGGUAGUGGAAUUUCCUGUGUAGCGGUGAAAUGCGUAGAUAUAGGAAGGAACACCAGUGGCGAAGGCGACUACCUGGACUGAUACUGACACUGAGGUGCGAAAGCGUGGGGAGCAAACAGGAUUAGAUACCCUGGUAGUCCACGCCGUAAACGAUGUCAACUAGCCGUUGGGAGUCUUGAACUCUUAGUUGCGCAGCUAACGCAUUAAGUUGACCGCCUGGGGAGUACGGCCGCAAGGUUAAAAC
rnacentral:rRNA from 1 species